ACCAUGCAUGCUUCUAUGAAGAGUGGGCUACGGGUUCCGCAAUGGAUUUCAGCAAUCCGCACCAGGUCUUUCAGAAAAGCCCACCCAGUGUGGCCAGGGCUUGUCAGCCUCGUCUUGAAAAAAAUGCAGAAUCAGUGCUGCCAUCAACCACGUCCCUGGCCAGGCCUGGUAAGUUGCAAAAAGCCAGGCCUAGCCUGUGCUGGAGACCAAUGUGCAGGCCGCACUAGGCCUCAGCUCAUGUGCAGUUUUUGGAACGGAGUUGGAAUCUUCCGGGUUCCGAAAGUCAUGGUAGAAACUGGACCCUCCAUUUCCAGAUCAAAUUCUACCUAGGUUGGGAUCUCCCUUGUCCUAGUCCUGGCCUUCGACGGCAGUAGCUUUGUUCAGAGGCCUACUGUAUCUCAGGGUUUUUUUUAUUUUACUGGAGGAGAGUUCCUUCACACAGCUCCAUCUACAGUAAGCGGUGUUGCAGCCCAGAGCCAUAAUAGGCUCUGUAGAGCCUCCAGGUUCAAAGGCUGUUGCCAAUGGAAAUCGAGCUGUUGUUAUUGCUGUUGCUGUUGUUGUUGUUGCUGAAACAGCAGGAGAGGGCUACUGCCUUCUGACCUGCUUGUGAGCUUCCUGGAGUUGUAUGGUUUGGCCAUUGUGUUGGGCUAGACCAGGAGCAAGGAACCUUUUGCAGCCUCAGGGCCGCAUUCUCUUGUAAGCGACCUUCUGAGGUCCGCAUGCCGAUGCAGGCCAGGCCAAGGGACAAAAUAUGCUGACAAAAUGAACGUACAGUAGCCUGCUUUCGACACACACUCACACAGCCCUCUCUGUCUUCCACCCAGGCAAGCAAGAGUCACCAUCAGAGUUCAAGGACUUGCUCCAGUGUGGAGGAAACAAUGAAAGACCUGGGCUGGUGAGAGGAGUGUCCUGGGAAGAGACCCGAUGGCGAGACAGAGCAGCCCGGCAGACCACCUCUGGCCCCAGACUUGACGUUCCCUACUUUAUGACAACAUGGCUUUGGCCCAGUUUACCUGAAGGAGCGUCUCCACCCCC